rnacentral:rRNA from 1 species
AGAACGAACGCUGGCGGCAUGCCUAAUACAUGCAAGUCGAACGAACUCUUCGGAGUUAGUGGCGCACGGGUGCGUAACGCGUGGGAAUCUGCCCUUGGGUUCGGAAUAACAGUUGGAAACGACUGCUAAUACCGGAUGAUGACGAAAGUCCAAAGAUUUAUCGCCCAGGGAUGAGCCCGCGUAGGAUUAGCUAGUUGGUGAGGUAAAGGCUCACCGAAGGCGACGAUCCUUAGCUGGUCUGAGAGGAUGAUCAGCCACACGUGGGACUGAGACACGGCCCAGACUCCGUACGGGGAGGCAG